UACAGAGGUCCCAAGCGUUGUUCGGAUUUAUUGGGCGUAAAGGGUGCGUAGGCGGCGGAGUAAGUUGGGUGUGAAAUCCCGGGGCUCAACCUCGGAAUUGCAUUCAAUACUGCUUCGCUUGAGUACUGGAGAGGAGGCUGGAAUUUACGGUGUAGCAGUGAAAUGCGUAGAUAUCGUAAGGAAGGCCGGUGGCGAAAGCGGCAUCCUGGACCGAGAUUGACGCUGAUGCGCGAAAGCCAGGGGAGCAAACGGG
rnacentral:rRNA from 1 species